GACGAACGCUGGCGGCGUGCUUAACACAUGCAAGUCGAACGGAAAGGCCCUGCUUUUGUGGGGUGCUCGAGUGGCGAACGGGUGAGUAACACGUGAGUAACCUGCCCUUGACUUUGGGAUAACUUCAGGAAACUGGUGCUAAUACCGGCUAGGUGCUCCUGCUGCAUGGUGGGGGUUGGAAAGUUUCGGCGGUUGGGGAUGGACUCGCGGGUUAUCAGCUUGUUGGUGGGGUAGUGGCUUACCAAGGGUUUGACGGGUAGCCGGCCUGGGAGGGUGACCGGCCACAUUGGGACUGCGGUACGGACCAGACUCCUACGGGAGGCAGCAGUGGGAAAUAUUGCACAAUGGGCGGAAGCCUGAUGCAGCAACGCCGCGUGCGGGAUGAAGGCCUUCGUGUUGUAAACCGCUUUCGCCUGUGACGAAGCGUGAGUGACGGUAAUGGGUAAAGAAGCACCGGCUAACUACGUG
rnacentral:rRNA from 1 species